AGAAUCUGCACCAUUCCUCCUGAUAAUGUUGAGCCAGGAAGGUCACUUCAACAGGAAUGAGUCUUUGAUAAAUGUCACUCUGAGGUGCAGGAACCUUCAUGGUACAGGCAAUGUUGAGAGUUCCAGCUGCUCCAUUUCUGCACCACUAGAUAUUUUGUGUGUGUCCAUGUGUGUGGGUAUGCAUAAUUUUGAGUAAUUUUAGAGGAUGCUGAAGAGUAAUUUCUGGUUUGAAAAUGAUGAGCAAAUUUCAAAUACUUAUCAGACAUUUGUAUAUUUCAUUUUUCUUGUAUUGUUUCUCUUGCUUGUUCAGUAUUUAAAUAUAUUGUUUUUCUUUUUAUUAAUGAGACUCCUUUAUAUAUUUUGCAUAAGAGUAUGUGUUAUGCGUAUUCUACCAGUCCAUAGUUUGCCUGUUCAUUUUUUAAAUAAUAUAUUUUGAAUAGAAAAAAAUUAAUUGGAAUUCAGUUUAAUUUUCAUUAGUUUUUGAUGAUUGAUUUAUAUGUCUGGUUUAAGAAAAUGCCUAUGACAAGGUUAAAGGGACAGUACUAUUUUUUUUAUGGUUCUAAAUUUUAGGCUUAGGUUUAUGAUCCACCUCAAACAAAUAUUUGUGUAUGAAUGAGUAGAAAUCUUGACUAAUAAUUUUCCAUGUAGCUUUCUAGAUGUUCCAAUACCAUUUGUUCAAAAACAUUUCCAAUUUCCAUUGAAUUGAAUUAGUGCCUUUGUUGAUAUAUUUACUUGACUAAACAUGUGUGGGGUUAUUUUUUAACUCUGGGUCCAUCUCUUUGAUUUUUAUGUCUAUCCUUAUUCUAAUAACACAUUUCCUUGAUAAUUAUUGCAUUAUAGUAGUCAUUAAAAUGAGGUAAGUCCCCCAAUUUUGUUUUCAUAUUCAAUAUUGUUUUUGCUAUUUUUUUUAAAGGGACAUAGUCUUGCUCUACUGUUCAGGCUGGUCUUAAACUUUUGAACUGAAGGAAUUUUCCUACCUCAGCCUCCUGAGUAGUUGGUACUACAGACAUGAGCCACCAUAUCUGGCUGUUUUUGCUAUUCUGUAUAUUUCCACAUAAAUUUUAGGAACAGCUUUCACUACCCUCUUGGCCUUUUCAUCUGUUCAUUCAUGUGGUUAUUCUUGCAUUAGAUUUUUAAUGUAAUUAUUAUGGGUAUUUAAAGUAGGCUUAAAUUCUUAAAUAAAUUCCAGAAUAUGGCUCAUUUCUGGAUACAUUCCUAUUGAAUAUUUAAUCCGUUGCCCACGUAGACAAAGUUUUGCUUCCUAACAUAUCCAUAAGUUUUUUGAUUGUGUGAUGAAUAUUUUGUGCAAAACAAGAUUAAAGAUUGAAGUGAAUAAUAUUUAUCCCCCAAAAUACAAGUAACUUUUUUCAUCAGGUUACUGAUGCUGGGAGAUGUUGUCAUCUAAUCUUUGGUGGAGCUACUUCUAGGAUUUAUUGAGCUACAAUAUAUUAAAUUUACUACUGGCUUCAAAUAUUUGAAGUGGGGGUGAUUAAGAUUGUCCUUUUAAAAGUCUAGGAUCUUUUAAAAGGAAAGGGUUGAGAGCCUUAGAUACUAUUUUUUAAUUUUAUUGUAAAUUGGCACUUUAUAAUUGUAUAUUUAUGGGGUACAAAGUGAUGCUAUGAUCCAUUAGUAUGAUAUGGAAUAAUUAAAUCCAGUUAAUUAACAUAUAUAUAUUACUUCAAGUAAAUAUUAUUUUUGUGGGGAGAACAUUUUAAAUUUACUCUAUUAGCAAUUUUGAAAUGUACAAAACAAUAUUAUUAACUAUAUUUACCAUAUUGCGGGAUAGAUCUCAAAAAACCUGUAUUCCUCUUGUCUGAGAUUGCAUAUUCUUUGAUCAUCAAUUCCCGACUCUCCCUUCCCUCAGUCUCUGUAAAACCAUUAAACUCUUUGCUCCUAUGAGUUUGAUUGCUAUAGAUUCCACAUAUAAGUGAGAAUAUGCAGUAUUUUUCUCUCUGUGUUUGGUUUAGUUCAUUUAGCAUAAUGUUCUCCGAUUCCGUCUACAUUGUCACCAAUGACAGAAUUUACUUUGUAAGGCUGAACAGUAUUAUUUCAUUGUGUAUAUAUACUAUACAUUUCUAAUCCACUCAUCUGUUGAUGGACAUAUUGCUUCCGUAACUUGGAUAUUGUGAGUGUUGCUGCAAUGAACAUGAGAGUGCAGAUAUCUUUUAGAAAUUCAUUUUAAAUGUUUUGGGUAAAUACUCAAAAGUAAGAUUAUUGGAUCUUGUUGUUCAUUCUUUUUUUUUGGAACCUCCAUACAGUUUUCUAUAAUGGUUAAUUCACAUUCCCAGCAACAGUGUACAAGUGUUCCAUUUUCUUCACAUUCUCACCAACACUUGUCCUGUUAUCUUUUCUCUUUAUCAUAAUAGCUAUUCUUACAGGUGUGAGAUGAUAUCUCAUUGUGGUGUUAAUUUGCAUUUUCUUUUUUUUAUUAUUAUACUUUAAGUUUUAGGGUACAUGUGCACAAUGUGCAGGUUUGUUACAUAUGUAUACAUGUGCCAUGUUGGUGUGCCGCACCUUAACUCGUCAUUUAACAUUAGGUAUAUCUCCUAAUGCUAUCCCUCCCCCCUCCCCACACCCCACAACAGACCCUGGUGUGAUGUUCCCCUUCCUGUGUCCAUGUGUUCUCACUGUUCAAUUCCCACCUAUGAAUGAGAACAUGCAGAGUUUGGUUUUUUGUCCUUGUGAUAGUUUGCUGAGAAUGAUGGUUUCCAGCUUCAUCCAUGUCCCUACAAAGGACAUGAACUCAUCAUUUUUUAUGACUGUAUAGUAUUCCAUGGUGUACAUGUGCCACAUUUUCUUGAUGCAGUCUGUCAUUGUUGGAUAUUUGGCUUGGUUCCAAGUCUUUGCUAUUGUGAAUAGUGCCGCAAUAAACAUACGUGUGCAUGUGUCUUUAUAAC
rnacentral:lncRNA from 1 species